rnacentral:rRNA from 1 species
UUGUAGUUCACAGGUUGGAGUGAAACUCGUAAUGUUUUUUCUGCCGAUACUAGGGGGAGAUUAGCGCGUGUAUUACCCCCCACACCUGUAACAUACCAAUUGUUGCCUCGGCGGAUCAGCCCGCUCCCGGUAAAACGGGACGGCCCGCCAGAGGACCCCUAAACUCUGUUUCUAUAUGUAACUUCUGAGUAAAACCCCAAAUAAAUCAAAACUUUCAACAACGGAUCUCUUGGUUCUGGCAUCGAUGAAGAACGCAGCAAAAUGCGAUAAGUAAUGUGAAUUGCAGAAUUCAGUGAAUCAUCGAAUCUUUGAACGCACAUUGCGCCCGCCAGUAUUCUGGCGGGCAUGCCUGUUCGAGCGUCAUUUCAACCCUCAAGCCCCCGGGUUUGGUGUUGGGGAUCGGCGAGCCCUUGCGGCAAGCCGGCCCCGAAAUCUAGUGGCGGUCUCGCUGCAGCUUCCAUUGCGUAGUAGUAAAACCCUCGCAACUGGUACGCGGCGCGGCCAAGCCGUUAAACCCCCAACUUCUGAAUGUUGAC